ACAUGCAAGUCGAACGAUGAAGCCCAGCUUGCUGGGUGGAUUAGUGGCGAACGGGUGAGUAACACGUGAGUAACCUGCCCCCGACUCUGGGAUAAGCCCGGGAAACUGGGUCUAAUACCGGAUAUUACCUCUUGCCGCAUGGCAGGUGGUGGAAAGAUUUAUCGGUGGGGGAUGGACUCGCGGCCUAUCAGCUUGUUGGUGAGGUAAUGGCUCACCAAGGCGACGACGGGUAGCCGGCCUGAGAGGGUGACCGGCCACACUGGGACUGAGACACGGCCCAGACUCCUACGGGAGGCAGCAGUGGGGAAUAUUGCACAAUGGGCGAAAGCCUGAUGCAGCGACGCCGCGUGAGGGAUGACGGCCUUCGGGUUGUAAACCUCUUUCAGUAGGGAAGAAGCGAAAGUGACGGUACCUGCAGAAGAAGCGCCGGCUAACUACGUGCCAGCAGCCGCGGUAAUACGUAGGGCGCAAGCGUUAUCCGGAUUUAUUGGGCGUAAAGAGCUCGUAGGCGGUUUGUCGCGUCUGCCGUGAAAGUCCGAGGCUCAACCUCGGAUCUGCGGUGGGUACGGGCAGACUAGAGUGAUGUAGGGGAGACUGGAAUUCCUGGUGUAGCGGUGAAAUGCGCAGAUAUCAGGAGGAACACCGAUGGCGAAGGCAGGUCUCUGGGCAUUUACUGACGCUGAGGAGCGAAAGCAUGGGGAGCGAACAGGAUUAGAUACCCUGGUAGUCCAUGCCGUAAACGUUGGGCACUAGGUGUGGGGGACAUUCCACGUUUUCCGCGCCGUAGCUAACGCAUUAAGUGCCCCGCCUGGGGAGUACGGCCGCAAGGCUAAAACUCAAAGGAAUUGACGGGGGCCCGCACAAGCGGCGGAGCAUGCGGAUUAAUUCGAUGCAACGCGAAGAACCUUACCAA
rnacentral:rRNA from 1 species